GGCGGAUUAUACAUUAUAAUUUGAAAAGCUUAGUUAUAUGGCGGUUUUGUGUCCAACUAGAGAAACAUGUUUAUUGAUACGAAGCUGCACGAAUAUCUUACUUAUAUUUGCUUUACACACCGUCGUCGGAUAGAACUGUUUAGAAAAAUAGUUCUUAUUUACUUAACAGGUAAUAAGUCAGAUCAAGGCGUAGGUUAUAUAAGAUUGGAUGUGUCUCUAUAUAA
rnacentral:rRNA from 1 species